UGAGAGGUCAGCGGCGGGCCGGCCUGCUAGGUUGACAAUGGCGGGGCUGUGGGUCGGGACGGUGGCGCAAGUCGUGGCCAGGCGGCAUUGGCGGCGGCCCCCGCAGCAAGUGCUGUGGACGCUGAAGCAUGUUCCAGUCUAUUCACAGCAGUGCCUCGUGGAGUUCAAAAGUCUCAGUUCUAUAGGAUAUGACCCUAAAGAAAAAACUUUUGAUAAAAUUCUCAUUGCUAACAGAGGAGAAAUUGCAUGUAGGGUUAUUAAAACUUGCAAGAAGAUGGGCAUCAAGACAGUGGCUGUUCACAGUGAUGUUGACACCAGUUCUGUUCAUGUGAAAAUGGCGGAUGAGGCUGUCUGUGUUGGCCCAGCUCCCACGAGUAAAAGCUACCUCAACGUGGAUGCCAUCAUGGAAGCCAUUAAGAAAACCAGGGCCCAAGCUGUACACCCUGGGUAUGGAUUCCUGUCAGAAAACAAAGAGUUUGCAAGAUGUUUGGCAGAAGAAGAUGUCACUUUCAUUGGACCUGACACUCAUGCUAUUCAAGCCAUGGGUGACAAGAUAGAAAGCAAACUAUUAGCCAAGAGAGCAAAGGUCAACACAAUCCCUGGUUUUGAUGGGGUAGUAAAGGAUGCAGAUGAAGCUGUCAGAAUUGCAAGGGAAAUUGGCUACCCUGUGAUGAUCAAGGCCUCAGCAGGUGGUGGUGGGAAAGGCAUGCGCAUCGCUUGGGAUGACGAAGAGACCAGGGAUGGUUUUAGAUUUUCAUCCCAGGAAGCUGCUUCUAGUUUUGGUGAUGAUAGACUACUGAUAGAAAAAUUUAUUGAUAACCCUCGUCAUAUAGAAAUCCAGGUUUUAGGUGACAAGCAUGGCAAUGUUCUGUGGCUCAAUGAGAGGGAAUGCUCGAUCCAGAGAAGAAACCAGAAGGUGGUAGAGGAAGCACCAAGCAUUUUUCUGGAUCAUGAGACUCGCCAAGCAAUGGGAGAACAGGCUGUGGCUUUGGCUAAAGCUGUGCAGUAUUCCUCUGCUGGAACUGUGGAAUUUCUCGUGGACUCCCAGAAGAAUUUUUACUUCUUGGAAAUGAACACAAGACUCCAGGUUGAGCAUCCUGUCACAGAAUGCAUUACCGGCCUGGACUUAGUCCAAGAAAUGAUCCGUGUUGCUAAGGGUUACCCUCUCAGGCACAAGCAAGUGGAUAUUCCCCUCAGUGGCUGGGCAAUUGAAUGUCGGGUUUAUGCUGAGGACCCCUACAAGUCUUUCGGUUUACCGUCUAUUGGGAGACUGUCUCAGUACCAAGAGCCGAUACAUCUACCCGGUGUCCGAGUUGACAGUGGCAUCCAACCAGGAAGUGAUAUCAGCAUCUAUUAUGACCCUAUGAUAUCAAAACUAAUCACAUAUGGGUCAGAUAGAGCAGAAGCACUGAAGAGGAUGGAAGAUGCACUGGAUAAUUACGUGAUCCGAGGUGUUACUCACAACAUCCCCUUGCUUCGCGAGGUGAUAAUCAACACACGAUUUGUGAAAGGGGACAUCAGCACCAAAUUUCUCUCUGAUGUGUAUCCCGAUGGCUUCAAAGGACACAUGUUAACACAGAGUGAGAGAAACCAGUUAUUGGCCAUAGCAUCAUCGUUGUUUGUGGCAUCCCAGUUACGAGCACAGCACUUUCAAGAGCAUUCAAGAGUGCCAGUUGUUAGAACAGAUGCGGCCAAGUGGGAGCUCUCAAUAAAGUUACACGAUGAAGAUCACACUGUCGUGGCAUCAAACAGUGGGUCGACUUAUGCCGUGGAAGUUGAUGGGUCGAAACUAAAUGUGACCAGUACGUGGAACCUGGCAUCACCCUUAUUGUCUGUCAACGUUGAUGGCACGCAGAGGACUGUGCAGUGCCUUUCUCGAGAUGCGGGUGGAAACAUGAGCAUUCAGUUUCUUGGCACAGUGUACAAAGUGCACAUUUUAACCAAACUUGCAGCAGAACUGAACAAAUUCAUGCUUGAAAAAGUAACCGAGGACACAAGCAGCAUUCUGCGCUCCCCGAUGCCUGGAGUGGUGGUGGCCGUUUCUGUCAAGCCUGGAGACAUGGUAGCAGAAGGUCAGGAAAUCUGUGUGAUUGAAGCUAUGAAAAUGCAGAACAGUAUGACAGCUGGGAAAAUGGGCAAGGUGAAAUCGGUGCACUGCAAAGCUGGAGACACAGUUGGCGAAGGAGAUCUGCUCGUGGAGCUGGAAUGAAGUAUUUCGAGCCUUUCAGUCAUCACUGCUUUAAUUAGCAUUUCUAUUAUUCUCUAACCCUCAAUUUGUUCAAGCAUUUACAGGAGCACUCCUGUGCAGCAGGUUCUACAGCAUCAUAUUUAUUCCUUAGAAGAAGCAAAACUGACAUUCUGCCAAAAAAAUCACCAAUGGAAAUUUUUAUUGAUAUAAAUACUUGUACAUAUGAUUUGUACUUCUGCUGAGAUUUCCUAGUGUCAAAAUUAAAUCAAUAAAACCAAGCACUUGUCUAAAUAUUAGUUUGCCCUUUUUUUCUGAAUGAAGACAAUAUACACAGAGGCGACAGGCUGUGCCAAUUGACUGUAAAUACUAGCAUUUCCUUAUGAUCCUUUAAAAAUUUAUAUAAAUUCCAGUUCUGCUUCCAAUUUUAUAAUCUGAUUGCCUUUCUUCUUUCAUCAUUCAGGACAGAUUCCUAGGGCUCAUUAUUCAUGAAUUCCUCAGACCAGGUAGCAGAGAUGAAGCGUCUGGAUACCCCCUUCUGUGUGGGUCCGCAGAGAAGUCACACGGGAUGAUGGGAGAGAUGGAUCACCAUUUGGGGGUCUGUAGACUGACAGAGGGUGCUGCCUGCACUGAGCCAAUGACAAGCAUGCUGUCCAGGCCCCUUUCCCUCUCUCCCUAUGGCCAGGAGACCUCACCUUCACUGCUGUGUGCAGGACAGCCAGCCCAUCAGCUGAUACCCAUCUUUGCCUUUCUGUUUUGUGAAGCAAGUUUCCAAUUAAGAAAAAGGGGCUAAAAAUAAGUCGUGUUUCUGUGCCAGUAGCAGUUAGUGAUCAGUCCACCAUUAUGUUGAAGAGUGAGUGAGCUCUUAGUGGAGUACCAGGGUACUCAGCCAGCAGCUGCAUUUGGGGCUGCAAUUCUUGGAAUUCAUUUUCUACUUUACUAGGAGGCAGAAGCAGAAUCAUGUGCAACUUGCAUAUAUACGCUGACAGAUUAUCAGAUGGAGGUGGAUGGUAAUUGGUACUUCGUGUCUUCCUAACAUUAUUUUAAGUGCUGUUUGUAUUUGGAAGCAAAGCCUUCUGUCAGGCCCGAGGAACAAAUUACUAAUGUGUUGGUUCUUCUGAAAGGCCUACCCCCAAGGGCUGUACCUUCAGGUGGCAGAGAUGGGCUAGGCUGCUGAGAGCUGGGCACCCAUCAACAACAAAGACUGAGGUCUCAGCUGUCUCCCAGCAAGCCACUGCUCCUGACUUUGCUGAAUUAGAAUGAAAAACACCUUCUACCAAUAAAGACAAGACCUUCCUGCUCAAGCCAGCCUCACCAACUUUACCACUACCCCGGAAAGGAGACAGUCAAACACUGUGCUCACAAAAGCACUGGCUGCCUUUGAAAUCAGCCAGACUUUGUCUUCCCACCCUCACCAGGUAAAAGUGAUGGAACAGGAAGGCAGGAGCCAGGCUGGGUGGACCUUCAGAGCUGGCUAAGUUCCCAAGGAUCUCUAGCUGCACCUGGAAUUGGGCCAGCACUUGGACCAGGGUCAGAGGUGUUGGGGGUAUCCCCAUGUCUGCUACCAUAUGAGCUCUGUAGAGGAAUGUCAUACUGUGGAUCUCAGGUUAGAGUGGGCCUGAUGCCCCAAGUUGGCCUGGAGACUUUGCAGCCUGAGGGCCAUACAGGGUUAGAGUAGAGAGCAACUUGGAGAGAGCCUCGAGAUCCAUGUACUGUCCACACCAAUGCCAUGAACCAAGUCCUGAGGAGUCACAUGAAGGCCCUGAAGAAAUGGGUCAUUUUGCAAAGCAGCUAAAGCAGAAGAAGGUCACCCUGGGGUACACUCAGGCUGACAUGGUGCUCACCCUGGGUGUCCUUUUUAGAAAGGUGUUCAGCCAGACAACCAUUUGCUGCUUUGGGGACCUGCAGCUCAGCUUCAAGAACACAUAUAUGGAGUUUGCUUUCAUUGUGGCAAGGUUAACCACUGGACAAAGGAACUGCUCUUCCUUUGACUGCUGACCAUGUGCUGUGCAGACUGGACAUGCAGGACACACAGGAAAAAGACUG